GUUUUAAACCCCUGAUUUACACCUUACAGAUGUUUGAUGCUUGAAUCUUUCUCCCCACCCUCGUCCCUGUCCAUGAACGGGUCAUUGGUGCAGUAGACCUGCUAAGGGACCCUGUGUGGAUUGACUGUGGGCUGUGGACAUAUCACUUCCUACCAGAGAUGAGGGGAACAGCUUGAGUCUGACGUCAGAGAGCGGGAAAGACCUAGAGACCUGUCUCUAGCUGGACCUCCAUAUCACAUACUACCGUCCUUAUUCCCCUUCCCCCACACCACCAUCACUGGCAUCUGUUUCUACCACCACCUCCACUCACUGGGAAGGAUUUGGGAUGACAGUUAACCUCCUCAGCUCUAUCUCACUCCUCCUCACCACCCAGGGAUAACCAGCACUAGAACCUCUGUACCCUGAGAGGCACACUACCACCCUCCCUCACCUCCCCCCAGCUGGCAUCAUGAUGGGAGAUGGAGUUGGGAACUGGGAGUGUCUGAGUCCGUCUGAGUUUGGUCAGCUGCAGCAAUACAGCGAGUAUUCCACCAAGAAGCUCAAGGAUGUUCUGGAGGAGUUUCACGGUGAAGGAGUCCUCUCCAAGUACAAUCCUGAGCAGCCCAUAGACUAUGAGGGUUUCCAGCUCUUCAUGACCACAUACCUGGAGAACGACAUCCCUGAGGAACUGUGUCAGCACCUGUUCACCUCCUUCAAGAGCAAGACAGGGGGCUGCUCUCCUGAGGUGCCCCGUGCUGGAGCAGGACUGCUGGGUGAGAUCAGAGCGGAGAAGAGGAGGAGUCCGUCACCCCAGAAGGGCUCCCCCUUACCCUCCCCCCAGGUGGUGUUUCUGAAGGACAUUGAACUGGACCGCAUCAUCAAUCAGAUGGUCCACGUGGCAGAGUACCUGGAAUGGGACUCUACAGAGCUGCGACCAAUCCUGAAGGAGAUGAUGGAAGAGAUAGACUAUGACCGAGACGGAACAGUCACUCUGGAGGAGUGGAUCAGAGGAGGCCUCACCACCAUCCCUCUGCUGGUCCUGCUGGGUAUGGAGACGGUAAGGCACUUUGUGUGUUGUUCAAACUGUCUCUCUCUGUACCUCUGUGUUUCAGUAUGCAAGUACACAGUCCAUGAACGCUGUGUAUCCAAAGACAUCGCUGCCUGCAUCAGCACCUACGCCAAGUCCCGCAGACACACUAAUGCUAUGCAGCACGUGUGGAUGGAGGGAAACUCUCCCACUAAGUGCGACCGCUGUCACAGAAGUAUCAAGUGCUACCAGGGCUUAACGGGCCUACACUGUGUGUGGUGUCAGAUCACUCUCCAUAAUAAGUGUGCGUCCAACAUGAAACCGGAGUGUGAUGGAGGAGCCCUUAGAGACCACACUCUACUCCCAUCCUACAUCUGCCCUGUAGUCCUGGUGAGAUCACACGACCGUCAUUCUGUCAUGAAGCGGGGUGAAGGGGACUCCCCACCCAGCACCAGCCCCGACGACCCGAGUCAAAGCUUCAAAUUCACAGGAGACGGACAAGCACUGCAGAUCACUCCUCUCCCAGGCACACAUCCCCUCCUGGUCCUGGUCAACCCAAAGAGUGGCGGGAGACAAGGGGAGCGGGUAUUGAGAAAGUUCCAGUACCUGCUGAACCCCAGACAGGUGUACAGUCUAGACCGAGAGGGACCCAUGGUGGGGCUCAACUUCUUCCAUGAUGUCCCUGAUUUCCGGGUGCUGGCGUGUGGAGGGGAUGGGACAGUGGGAUGGAUCUUAGACUGUAUUGACAAGGCCAACUUCACCAGAGAUCCCCCUGUGGCCAUCCUCCCUCUGGGCACAGGGAACGACCUGGCAAGAUGCCUACGCUGGGGUGGAGGUUAUGAAGGAGGCAGUCUUCUGAAGUUCCUGCGGGACAUAGAGCACAGCACAGAGAUGGUUCUGGACCGAUGGAACAUCGACAUCGUCCCUGUUGACAAGGAGGAGAAGGGAGACCCUGUCCCCAACAGCAUCGUCAACAACUACUUCUCCAUCGGAGUGGAUGCGUCCAUCGCUCAUCGCUUCCACUUGAUGAGAGAGAAGCACCCAGAGAAAUUCAACAAGACCAUCUCUGCCACGUGCAAGAAACUCAACGAGUGUAUCGAAGUGGAGUGUGAUGGUAUCAUCCUGGACCUCAGCAGCACGUCGUUGGAAGGCAUCGCCGUCCUCAACAUACCCAGCAUGCAUGGCGGCUCCAACCUGUGGGGCGAGACCAAGAAGAGGAGGAACUACAGCCGCAUGAGCAAGAAGGUUCCGGACAGGAUGCCCGCCAGUACCGUCACCGAUAUAAAGGAGCUCAAAUUCUGUGUUCAGGACCUGAGUGACCAGUUGCUAGAGGUGGUGGGUCUGGAGGGGGCCAUGGAGAUGGGGAAGAUCUACUCAGGCCUGAAGAGUGCUGGCCGUAGACUGGCCCAGUGUGCUAACGUCACCAUCAGGACAUCCCGGCUGCUGCCCAUGCAGAUCGAUGGGGAGCCUUGGAUGCAGCCCCCAUGCACGAUCAAGAUCACACAUAAGAACCAGGUUCCCAUGCUACUGGGCCCUCCUCAGAAGACCCCCUUCUUGUUCUUCAAGAGACGCAACAGAAGUCGGGACUAUGAGUGAGGAGGACACUUCAAACUCCCCCCUCUUCACAAACACAUUCACCAACCUCUUGGGACAACUCAAUAGGUCCCACAGACCAAGUCAUUGCCCCUUGGACCUACAGUACCACUUCAGAAUGAACUGACUUCCUCUCAGUGUAAUGACCACUUCCUGUGUAUCCAUGUUCUAGCUUCUAGAACUUCCUGUGAACUCUGAACUCUGACCCUGCCACUGGCACACUAGCUCAGUCAACCCCAGCUCCAGACUCAGCU
ensembl:lncRNA